rnacentral:rRNA from 1 species
UACGAAGGGGGCUAGCGUUGUUCGGAAUUACUGGGCGUAAAGCGCACGUAGGCGGAUCGAUCAGUCAGGGGUGAAAUCCCAGGGCUCAACCCUGGAACUGCCUUUGAUACUGUCGAUCUGGAGUAUGGAAGAGGUGAGUGGAAUUCCGAGUGUAGAGGUGAAAUUCGUAGAUAUUCGGAGGAACACCAGUGGCGAAGGCGGCUCACUGGUCCAUUACUGACGCUGAGGUGCGAAAGCGUG